GGCUGGUCCGAUGGCAGUGGGUUAUCAGAACUUAUUAACAUUAGUGUCACUAAAGUUGGUAUACCACCCCCCCCCACUGCUAAAUUUGAGUGGCUUUAA
ensembl:misc_RNA Y_RNA Y RNA